GAUGAACGCUGGCGGCGUGCUUAACACAUGCAAGUCGAACGGUGAAGCCAAGCUUGCUUGGUGGAUCAGUGGCGAACGGGUGAGUAACACGUGAGCAACCUGCCCUGGACUCUGGGAUAAGCGCUGGAAACGGCGUCUAAUACUGGAUAUGAGACGUGAUCGCAUGGUCGUGUUUGGAAAGAUUUUUCGGUCUGGGAUGGGCUCGCGGCCUAUCAGCUUGUUGGUGAGGUAAUGGCUCACCAAGGCGUCGACGGGUAGCCGGCCUGAGAGGGUGACCGGCCACACUGGGACUGAGACACGGCCCAGACUCCUACGGGAGGCAGCAGUGGGGAAUAUUGCACAAUGGGCGGAAGCCUGAUGCAGCAACGCCGCGUGAGGGAUGACGGCCUUCGGGUUGUAAACCUCUUUUAGCAGGGAAGAAGCGAAAGUGACGGUACCUGCAGAAACAGCGCCGGCUAACUACGUGCCAGCAGCCGCCGUAA
rnacentral:rRNA from 1 species